GAUGAACGCUGGCGGCGUGCUUAACACAUGCAAGUCGAACGAUGAAGCCCAGCUUGCUGGGUGGAUUAGUGGCGAACGGGUGAGUAACACGUGAGUAACCUGCCCUUGACUCUGGGAUAAGCCCGGGAAACUGGGUCUAAUACCGGAUAGGAGCGCCUGUCGCAUGACGGGUGUUGGAAAGAUUUUUCGGUCAUGGAUGGACUCGCGGCCUAUCAGCUUGUUGGUGAGGUAAUGGCUCACCAAGGCGACGACGGGUAGCCGGCCUGAGAGGGUGACCGGCCACACUGGGACUGAGACACGGCCCAGACUCCUACGGGAGGCAGCAGUGGGGAAUAUUGCACAAUGGGCGGAAGCCUGAUGCAGCGACGCCGCGUGAGGGAUGACGGCCUUCGGGUUGUAAACCUCUUUCAGCAGGGAAGAAGCGAAA
rnacentral:rRNA from 1 species